rnacentral:tRNA from 1 species
GGGCCGUUAGCUUCAACUGGAUAGAGCGCACCGCUUCGGACGGUGAGGUUGAGGGUUCAAAUCCUUCACGGCCCACCA